rnacentral:rRNA from 1 species
UACGUAGGGUGCAAGCGUUAAUCGGCACUACUGGGCGUAAAGCGUGCGCAGGCGGUUUUGUAAGUCUGUCGUGAAAUCCCCGGGCUCAACCUGGGAAUGGCGAUGGAGACUGCAAGGCUGGAAUCUGGCAGAGGGGGGUAGAAUUCCACGUGUAGCAGUGAAAUGCGUAGAGAUGUGGAGGAACACCGAUGGCGAAGGCAGCCCCCUGGGCUAAGAUUGACGCUCAUGCACGAAAGCGUGGGGAGCAAACAGG